GCUCGUAGGUGGUUUGUCGCGUUGUUCGUGAAAACUCACAGCUUAACUGUGGGCGUGCGGGCGAUACGGGCAGACUGGAGUACUGCAGGGGAGACUGGAAUUCCUGGUGUAGCGGUGGAAUGCGCAGAUAUCAGGAGGAACACCGGUGGCGAAGGCGGGUCUCUGGGCAGUAACUGACGCUGAGGAGCGAAAGCGUGGGGAGCGAACAGGAUUAGAUACCCUGGUAGUCCACGCCGUAAACGGUGGGUACUAGGUGUGGGUUUCCUUCCUUGGGAUCCGUGCCGUAGCUAACGCAUUAAGUACCCCGCCUGGGGAGUACGGCCGCAAGGCUAAAACUCAAAGAAAUUGACGGGGGCCCGCACAAGCGGUGGAGCAUGUGGUUUAAUUCGACGCAACGCGAAGAACCUUACCAGCUCUUGACAUGCCCGGUAUGGGCGGGAGAGAUCUCGUCCUUCGGUUCGGCCGGCCGGGACACAGGUGCUGCAUGGCUGUCGUCAGCUCGUGUCGUGAGAUGUUGGGUUAAGUCCCGCAACGAGCGCAACCCCCAUCUGCAGUU
rnacentral:rRNA from 1 species